rnacentral:rRNA from 1 species
AUUGAACGCUGGCGGCAUGCCUUACACAUGCAAGUCGAACGGUAACGGGCCUUCGGGUGCCGACGAGUGGCGAACGGGUGAGUAAUACAUCGGAACGUGCCCGAUCGUGGGGGAUAACGAGGCGAAAGCUUUGCUAAUACCGCAUACGAUCUACGGAUGAAAGCAGGGGACCGCAAGGCCUUGCGCGGACGGAGCGGCCGAUGGCAGAUUAGGUAGUUGGUGGGAUAAAAGCCUACCAAGCCGACGAUCUGUAGCUGGUCUAAGAGGAUGAUCAGCCACACUGGGACUGAGACACGGCCCAGACUCCUACGGGAGGCAGCAGUGGGGAAUUUUGGACAAUGGGCGCAAGCCUGAUCCAGCCAUGCCGCGUGCAGGAUGAAGGCCUUCGGGUUGUAAACUGCUUUUGUACGGAACGAAAAGCCUUCUUUUAAUACAGGAGGGUCAUGACGGUACCGUAAGAAUAAGCACCGGCUAACUACGUG